rnacentral:tRNA from 1 species
UAGCUCAGUUGGUAGAGCAUGAGACUCUUAAAUCUCAGGGUUGUGGGUUUGAGCCCCAU